CCACCAAGGUCAUCCUCAGCCUGGGGUCAUUAGUGAGAAGAGGGGGGCCCACAUCACCAGGGUUUCUGUCUUGGUGUGUGACCUGUGUGACCCAUAGCAGCUGCUAUGGAUGCCCUGGGUAAAAACUAUACAAGGGUUUCUGUAACGAUUGUUCUCUCUCCUACAACCAACCCCCUGCCUUGGUUCUGAUGCCCAGAGAGGUUGAGUAACUUGCCUGAGGUCACACAGCAAGGCGGUGCGGGUGGGGGUAGGUGCUGAGAUUUGAAUCCUGGCCACCCUGACCCCCUACGUUCCGUGAAGGCUCAGCAGUAAAGAAUCUGUCUGCAAUGCGAGACGUGGGUUCAAUCCCUAGGUAGGGAAGAGCCCCUGGAGGAGGAAAUGGCAACCCACUCCAGUAGUCUUGGCUGGAAAAUUCCAUGGACAGAGGAGCCUGGCAGGCUACAGUCCAUGGCGGGGUAAAGAGUUGGACACGACUGAGUGACUAAGCAUGCACACACACACACACACACACUGAUACCCAGUGUGUGCAAAAACUCCCACUCACACACGACCCUGUGUGUAUGUUGCGGGGGCGCGGCUGUGCUCUUACACCUUUUACAGAUGGGGAAACUGAGGUUGAAAUCCUUUGUUGCAGGUGUCACAGUCAGGGAGAAGAGGGACAGGAACGUGAACCCAGACUCACCUCUCUGAAGGCAAGAGCUGUCCAGAUUGUUGGAUCAAGGAUCAGGGCAAAGUCUUCAUGAGGCUUUUAAACUGGGAGGAAAACCAGUAACAAAUGGAGGAAUCUCAGAAACCCCUCACAAGCCUAGAAAUGCCAGGCCCAGCCAAAGGAUCAGGGCCCAGAUCCAUUGUCCCUGUCCAAGCCUUCAAGAAGCUGCCAGUCUGGAGCAGACAGGGCCAAGUACACGCACUCCCAGUACUGUGUGGUCAAGGCAGGGCUGGAGGAAGGAAUGAGGUUGGAAGCACACUGCUGAGCCUGGAAAAGUAAUGUCAGAGAAGACUUCCUGGAGGAGGGGCUUUUUGAGUAGGGUUUUGAGGAAUGGAUAGGAGUUCCCCAGCUGAGGAUGAGUAACUGCAAAAACACCCAGUUUAUCAAGCACCUGUUCUGUGCCUGGCCCUGUCCUUUAUACCUUGUUUGACCUUCUCUCAAGUGAAAGUCUCAAUCUUUACUUUCCAGGUGAAGGAAUAGAGGUGUGAUGGAUAGGAAUGAUUUGCCCCAGUUUGCACUUUCUGGCUAUUUCUGGCCCUUUUUUCCUCUUUUUUCUUUCCUUUUCACCUCUUUUUUCUUUCCUUUUCACUAUCUUCAGCCUUUGACUUGAGCAGAGAGGAGAGGGGGAAUCUCAUCAGAGAAGAAAACCACCUCUUAAAUCCCUGCUAUGGGGUUUAGCACAUAGUAAAUAAUAAAUAUUUUUUGAGAAAAUUAUUCUUCCCA
rnacentral:lncRNA from 1 species